CUACGUGCCAGCAGCCGCGGUAAUACGGAGGGUGCGAGCGUUAAUCGGAAUAACUGGGCGUAAAGGGCACGCAGGCGGUGACUUAAGUGAGGUGUGAAAGCCCCGGGCUUAACCUGGGAAUUGCAUUUCAUACUGGGUCGCUAGAGUACUUUAGGGAGGGGUAGAAUUCCACGUGUAGCGGUGAAAUGCGUAGAGAUGUGGAGGAAUACCGAAGGCGAAGGCAGCCCCUUGGGAAUGUACUGACGCUCAUGUGCGAAAGCGUGGGGAGCAAACAGGAUUAGAUACCCUGGUAGUCCACGCUGUAAACGAUGUCGAUUUGGGGGUUGAACUUUAGGUUUGGCGCCCGUAGCUAACGUGAUAAAUCGACCGCCUGGGGAGUACGGCCGCAAGGUUAAAACUCAAAUGAAUUGACGGGGGCCCGCACAAGCGGUGGAGUAUGUGGUUUAAUUCGACGCAACGCGAAGAACCUUACCAGGUCUUGACAU
rnacentral:rRNA from 1 species